rnacentral:rRNA from 1 species
AGUCGAGUUGUUUGGGAAUGCAGCUCAAAUUGGGUGGUAAAUUCCAUCUAAAGCUAAAUAUUGGCGAGAGACCGAUAGCGAACAAGUACCGUGAGGGAAAGAUGAAAAGCACUUUGGAAAGAGAGUUAACAGUACGUGAAAUUGUUGGAAGGGAAACGCUUGAAGUCAGACUUGCUAUUCGGAAUUCAGCCGCAAGGUGUACUUUUCGAUUUGCAGGCCAGCAUCAGUUUUCGGGGAUGGAAAAGGGCUGGAGGAAGGUAGCAAUCUAGGUUGUGUUAUAGCCUUCAGCUGGAUUCAUCUUUGGGGACUGAGGAACGCAGCGCGCUUUUUGCAAACCUCUCGAGGUUUUCGCGCUUAGGAUGCUGGUGGAAUGGCUUUAAACGACCCGUCUUG